rnacentral:rRNA from 1 species
GAGUUUGAUCGUGGCUCAGAUUGAACGCUGGCGGCAGGCCUAACACAUGCAAGUCGAGCGGAUGAAGGGAGCUUGCUCCUGGAUUCAGCGGCGGACGGGUGAGUAAUGCCUAGGAAUCUGCCUGGUAGUGGGGAUAACGUACCGGAAACGGGCGCUAAUACCGCAUACGUCCUGAGGGAGAAAGUGGGGAUCUUCGGACCUCACGCUAUCAGACGAGCCUAGGUCGGAUUAGCUAGUUGGUGGGGUAAAGGCCUACCAAGGCGACGAUCCGUAACUGGUCUGAGAGGAUGAUCAGUCACACUGGAACUGAGACACGGUCCAGACUCCUACGGGAGGCAGCAGUGGGGAAUAUUGGACAAU